GGAGUCUGGGCCGUGUCUCAGUCCCAAUGUGGCCGUUCACCCUCUCAGGCCGGCUAUGCAUCAUCGCCUUGGUGGGCCGUUACCUCACCAACUAGCUAAUGCACCGUAAGCCCAUCUACUUGUGUUUCAAACCUUUAAUAAUAAGAAGAUGCCUUCUCAUUACCUAUCCGGUAUUAGCGCCCGUUUCCAGGUGUUAUCCCAGUCCGUGUAGGCAGGUUGCUUACGUAUUACUCACCCGUUCGCCUCUCCUUCACUCAAGCAAGCUUGAGCUCCAGCGAUCGACUUGCAUGUAUUAGGCACGCCGCCAGCGUUUAUC
rnacentral:rRNA from 1 species